UCCAGCAUUUAUUGUUUCUAGAUUUUUUGAUGAUGGCCAUUCUGACUGGUGUGAGAUGAUGUCUCAUUGUAGUUUUGAUUUGCAUUUCUCUAAUGAUUAAUGAUGUUGAGCAUUCUUUCAUGUGUUUGUUGGCAGUCUGUAUAUCUUCUUUGGAGAAAUGUCUAUUUAGGUCUUCUGCCCAUUUUUGGAUUGGGUUGUUUUUUUGUUAUUGAGCUGCAUGAGCUGCUUGUAAAUUUUGGAAAUUAAUCCUUUGUCAGUUGCUUCAUUUGCAAAUAUUUUCUCCCAUUCCGAGGGUUGUCUUUUGGUCUUGUUUAUGGCUUCCUUUGCUGUGCAAAAGCCUUGAAGUUUCAUUAGGUCCCAUUUGUUUAUUUUUGUUUUUAUUUCCAUUUCUCUAGGAGGUGGGUCAAAAAGGAUCUUGCUGUGAUUUAUGUCAUAGAGUGUUCUGCCUAUGCUGUUCAUAUUUUCUAAUUCUUCCUGGUUCAAUCUUGGAAGGUUGUGCUUUUCCAAGAAUUUGUCCAUUUCUUUCAGGUUGUUCAUUUUAUUGGCAUAUAGUUGCUUAUAGUAGUCUCUUAUGAUCUUUUAUAUUUCUGCAGUGUCAGUUGUAAACUCUUUUUCAUUUCUCAUAUUAUUGAUUUGCGUCCUCUACCUUUUUUUCUUGCUGAGUCUGGCUAACGGUUUAUCAAUUUUGUUUAUCUUUUCAAAGAACUAGCUUUUAGUUUUAUUGAUCUUUGCUAUUGUUUUCUUUGUUUCUAUUUUAUUUAUUUCUGCUCUGAUCUUCAUGAUUUCUUUCCUUCUACCAAUUUUGGGUUUCUACUAAUUUUGGGUUUUCGUUGUUCUUCUUUUUCUAGUUGCUUUAGGUGUAAGGUUAGAUUGUUUGAGAUUUUUCUUUCUUGAGGUGAGCUUGAAUUCCUAUGAACUUCCCUCUUAGAACUGCUUUUGCUGCAUCUCAUAGGUUUUGGAUCAUCGUGUUUUCGUUGUCAUUUGUUUCUAGGUAUUUUUUUAUUUCCUCUUUGAUUUCUUCAGUGAUCUCUUGGUUAUUUAGCAGCACACUGUUUAGCCUCCGUGUAUUUGUGUUUUUUACUGUUUUCUUCCCUGUAAUUGGCUUCUAAUCUUAUAGCGUUAUGGUCAGAAAAGAUGCUUGAUACGAUUUCAAUUUUCUUAAAUUUUCCAAGGUUUGAUUUGUGACCCAAAAUGUGAUCUAUUCUGGAGAAUGUUCUGUGUGCACUUAAGAAAAAAGUGUAUUCUUCCGCUUUCAGGUGAAUGUCCUAUAAAUAUCAAUUAAGUCUAUCUGAUCUAUUGUGUUAUUUAAAGCUUGUGUUUCCUUAUUUAUUUUCUGCUGGAUAAUCUAUUGGUAUAAGUGGGGUGUUAAAAGUCCCCCACUAUUAUUGUGCUACUGUUGAUUUCUCCUUUUAUGGCUGUUGGCAUUUGCCUAAUGUAUUGAGGUGCUCCUAAGUUGGGUACAUAAAUAUUUAUAUAGACUCAUUUUAGAUAGUAGUUAUUAACAUUAUUAUUAAGCACAUUAAUUUAAGAUAAUGUGUCCACUUCCUUUUGGGAAAAAUUGAUUGACUUUAACCCUGGUUAUAGCCCAGUAGACAUGGAGCAGUGGUUCUCUAAGGAAAAAACCUUUGCUAAGAGUGAAUCUUUCAGCAUAUUGCUUCUGACAUGCACAUAACCAGAAAUGGGACUGACCCUCUAGGAAAAAGGACCUCAAGCAGAGGGCUUCACACAGAGCAACUGGAAUAGGUUUAUGCCACCACAGGUUAGAAGGCACCUAUAUGCUCAUCACAAAGUUACAUGAAAGAAGGAGUCAAAUAUCUACUUUGUGCUUUGCUUUCCAUGCUCCAGGCACUGUGCUAAGUCCUUCACACAUUUAGUGACCCUAUGAUGGAAGUAUUAUCCCCAUUUUAGGGAUGAAAUCGUUAAGGCUCAGAGAUAAUUAAAAACUUGAUUGAUGUCUCAUAGCUAUAAUGGUGGGGUGGUGGUUGAAGCUGGGCUUGUAUUUUCCAUUAGACCAUGUUUUGCUUUUCUAAGUAGGUAUCACAGCCUAUCCUGAUGAAGUCUAGAGGGCUGGGGUGGGCCCACAGAGGCAUAGCAAGUUGCCAUCUAAGACGGAUUCACAUAGUAAGUACAGUAACUCCAUCCAAAGCAAGGGGGAGGUGCAGGAAGCACACUGGCUUCAAGGACAGGGAGGGCAAGGGGGUGACCCUGACAUGCCUGUUGCUCCAACUGUCCUCUGCCUGAGCCGUAGACUCACGCCCUGCGCUGCAAUCAGAGAAUGAGGGGAAAACACAGGGGCUGCUUGGUUCACAAUCUGGGAUAGGUGGGUGGAGGUCCCAGCCCUGGAACCACACUGCCUAGGCUAGAAUGCCACCUUUCCCCUGGACACCCUCAGUGACCUUGGGCAAGUUUCUUUAACUUGUCCAAGCCUCCAUUUUUCAUCUGGAAAAGAGGGAAUAAAAUCCUACCUGCCUCAUAGGUUGCUAGGAUGAUUAAAUGAAUUAAUAUACACAAAGCGCUUAGAGGAACGCCUGGCAUCUAGUAAGUUCUCACUCAAUACAUGAUACCUGGGACUAGUCUAUGAGUUAUCAAAAUUGGGGCAGACAACAACUACACGUUCCUAAAUAUCUCUGUGUAACUUUGCAUUUCCUUGUCCUUCUCUGCUUUGUCUUUUGCGCCCCAACUCAGGGCUGUCAUAGCUCAGGAGCCAAAAGCAAUAGGUCUUCGAAGGCCUCCAGGCAGAGAGCACAUACUGUAGAAUCAUGGCUUUUCUCUUCUCCUCCUCCACCAUGAGACGAGGGUCAUCCCGGGGUAGGAGGAGGAGGACUGGAAGGAAGCUGUGGUGGCAGAUGCUGGUCACUCAAACGGGACUGCGUCUUUCUUUGUCUUAACUCUCAGCCAGAGUCCUCAAAGGAGAAGGAAGUGAACAGAACAAUCCAGACAAGACCAGGGAAUCUGGAGCGGUGGACAGUGCAUCUGUACCCAUUAUCAGAGCUUGAGAAAUGAGCAAGAGUCGUGGACCUGCCUGGGUGGCCAGGUCGUCCACAGAACAAUUUCCACCGCACUCACUGUGGAGCCAGUGAUGGUGAAGGACCGGAGCCAGCCCCAGAAAAUUCUCUGAAGCUCUAGAGUGAAACACAGGUACUGUCAGAGACCUAGGUCCUAAAGGCCUUCCGACUGGGAGUCAGGGGAGAAGGAGCAGCUAGCUUUGUUGAUGAUGAUGAAAGUAUAGCACCGUGAGGGGAACCCAAGGACUAGGUGCCACUCACCCCCCAGCCCCAGGCAACACAGAGGUGGUGUGUGAUCCCCUGGAAAUCUACAUGCCACCUGGGAAGCGGGAGCAGGGCUCUAAAUUCACUAAAUUUCUGUCACCACUCAGAAUGGGUGCUUAAAUUAGAAGGUAAAUAGAUUCAUAAAUUAAGAGAAUUAUGUUGACGGCUCACCUGAGUGAAAUGUUACCCAAGGCAACAGCAGCUUUGAUACCCAUGGGAGAUGGUGCAGUGCUCGGGCAGCAGCAUUUUGGGUGUGUACGCUGGUGGGUCUCAAUGGCAUGACGUGUAAGAUUUCUUUUGUUUUUGCUAAUAUACAGAAACUUUAUCAAGCACUAACUAUGUUAGGCACUGUGCUACAUUCUUAAAUGUAAUUAUCUCAUUUCAUCUUCUCAAAACCACUGUGGAAUAAAUAUUAUUAUCCCCAAUUUACAGAUGUUAAAUGUGAGGCCUAGAGAGGCCAAGGUUACACUUUAGCAAUGGGAUGGGUCUGGGAUUCAAGUCCAGGCAGACUGUUGAUAUGGCCUGUGCAGUGAAGCGCCGUGACAGCCGGCCUCGCGCAGGACGGUUAUCAAAGGCAGACCCUCUGGCUACACUGGCAUUGACUGUAAUAACCUUGCCAAAUGGACAUUUGCAAGAGAGUUGCUUGCCACUUGGGGUGUGUUGCUACCUUUUGGAGUCAAGAUGAGUGAUAUGCAGGUCAUGCUGGGGAAAUCCUAAACUAUUUAGGAGGACUUUGAGGGCUAGCUGGAGUUUUGCUAAGGAAGGCCAAACAAGAAAAAUUAUUUUGUCGUUACCCUCUUGAUCUUAUUUUCGUGUCUAGGCUGGUGCGGCUCACAAAGGCCAUGCAAUCAGCACCCUUCCCACUAGUAAGAAGGUGAACGGAUGAUCCUUGGCAAGCGUCACUGCGUUGGUUUAAAGCAUCUAGUGUUGCUCGUUCUAAUCUGGUUCUUAUUACUUGUUAAUAAUGUAAUUGUUCUCACUGGGUUUUCAUUUCAGGAUCUUCUCUUGGGCCUUAGUGUCCUGAAGUUCCCUAAUGCUGUGAGCAGUGUAGACGUCAUUCCCCUGUUCCACCUUCACAGAGCAUCUCAAUCUGAGUCAUUAAACCCUUCCUCAGCCACAGGAGGUGUUUCCAACCUAAUCCUUGGUACACCUGGCCAAUCCAUUUUGACUUUUUCCCCCUAAAACCCAUUAGUUUUAUGUGAAAUUCCUAUAAAUUAGCCCUCCUAAGGCUUUCAUUUUUUUUUUUUUCUCUUAGUUUCCAUCUUGUUGUCAUCAUGCUUUAUAUCCUGGGGAAUCGCCUUGAUUUUAACUUCUAGCUUUCUUUUAAAUUUUUAUGAAUUUUCAGAAAUCAUGUUCUCAAUACCAAAGAGCUUUUUGUUGUUGUUGUUGUUCUUGAUUUCUUCUUUUAAUGGCUAUAUAUAUAUAUAUAUUUUUUUUUUUGGUGGGGGUGGGGUACGAAAUCAUCUCAAAUCUGAGAUUUCUAGUUGGAGUUUGUUGAUGUUUUUUAACUUCUCUUCUGCUCCCUGAAUUAUCUCCAGUUUCUCUGGGAUCAGUUUUUUGCUGUUUGUAAGUAUGUGAGAUGAUAAUGUGUUAACCAGCAUUAUAGUGGUGAUCACUUCAUAACAUAUACAGAUAUCAAAUGAUCACAUUUUACACCUUAAACUUAUACAAUGUUACGUGCCAAUUACAUCUCAAAAAAGCUGGAAACAAAAUCAAAAUAAGAUAAAAACUUAUUUUGACUAUUAGAAAAACAAAGAUGCUGGUAAAUUGUGCUUCGUGGUCUUUGGUUUUCUAUUUAUAUUUCAAACAAAUGACCAAGUAGUUGGGGUGGGUUCACUUCAUUUCUACAUUAGUGGCUCUAUCUCCUGAUACACUUUGCCUCUCCUUUGGUGGGGAGUCUAACUAAAAGCCCUCUGCUGCUUGGGAGGAGGAAUUCACUGACAGGAUCACUUUAGGGUAAGUGGGGCAAGGAGCCAGCAGCUAGGUACUAGUCCCCCAAGUUCCCUGUUGAGCAGGGCUUUACUUGGAGACUCCAAUUCACAUACCAUAAACCACAGAUAAUCUCCUUGGUUUAUUCAAGAGAUUUGUUCUGGAGGUUAUGAUGCUGCUGCUGAUAAAGACAAUAGCUAGUAUUGAUAUAACGGUUGGUCAUGUGCCAGCACUAAGAACAUCACAUAUGUAAAUUCAUUUGCUCCUCCCAACAAUCCUUUGGAUUAGCUACCAUUAUCACACACAAGGAAAUGGAGGCACAGAGAGGUUAGAUAACCUGCCCAAGGUCACACAGCUAGUAAGUGACAGAAGCAGGCUUUGAACCAAUGCUCCACAGUCCAUUCUUCUCAUCUCUAGGUUCUAUCUCUGGGCUGACUGCCCUCUGAGUAGAGGUGAGAAUUGAGUAAUUAAAACAGUUUUUCAUACAUAGACCUUAGUUUCCACAUAGACUUAAAAACAUUUUAUCAGCUGUAUGUUUCCCUCUUCCCUAAAAACUGAGCUUGGGGUUGUUCCAACUGCUACUGGUAGAAAAGCUCUCACCUCACUGCAACGCCUCUUGUAGGGAAUCCUGUGCCAGUUAUUGGCUUAGGGGCUCCCACCUGCUUCCUGUCACCCAGAAAUGUGUUGAAAUAUCUCAUUCACUAAUGACCACCAUUCUUCACACCCCCAUCUAACAUACUGUGCUGUUACUGUUUCUUUCUAGUGUUUCUAUUUCAGUGAACCCUCAGAGGCCUUGUAAAUUUGUGCUCAGGAAUCCAUCUUGAAAUGACUUCAUAAAAUGUGGAAGUUCUACACCUAAGUCUGAAGAAGGCCGGGCAGCUUCUGUGCUUUUGGGAGUCCUGAGGCUCCAUGGAAAUUCUGCUGGAGAAGUGAUAUGGUUGAUGAUUCUCAUUUAAAAAGUGACCAGGGCUUCCCUGGUGGCGCGGUGGGUGAGAGUCUGCCUGCCGAUGUGGGGGACACGGGUUCGUGCCCUGGUCUGGGAAGAUCCCACAUACCGCAGAGCGGCUGGGCCCGUGAGCCAUGGCCGCUGAGCCUGUGUGCCCAGAGCCUGUGCUCCGCAGCGGGGGAGGCCGCAACAGUGAGAGGCCUGCGUACCGCAAGGAAAAAGAAAGAAAAAAUAAAUGAAAAGUGACCAAGAUGAGAAAUGAAACUAUGCUUCCCAGGCAGCUUUUCACAGUGAGAGGCUGGAGGAGGAGAAGCAGAGAACGAGGUAUCACAAGUGGGGAAGGUGGAGAAGGGCUAGGGCUAGAUGGAGAAGAAAUAAGUAAAAGUAGAAGAGGUUUUGGCUUCUGUUUGCUUGUUUGGUUUCUGUAAUUGCUGUGGUGUGAGAGGAGUGAGUGAAGUGAUGAGAAGGAAUGAUAACCAACAUCGGCCUUCUGGGAAAUGCUUGACAGUGAACACAUGAUACCAAAUGCUAAUACUUUACCAGUAGUGAAGAUAAUAAAUUUUUUCCUCAAGUUA